UGCGACGAGAUGCUGCUUCUCAGAGCUGCUA
rnacentral:piRNA from 1 species